rnacentral:rRNA from 1 species
GACGAACGCUGGCGGCGUGCUUAACACAUGCAAGUCGAACGGAAAGGCCCUGCUUUUGUGGGGUGCUCGAGUGGCGAACGGGUGAGUAACACGUGAGUAACCUGCCCUUGACUUUGGGAUAACUUCAGGAAACUGGGGCUAAUACCGGAUAGGAGCUCCUGCUGCAUGGUGGGGGUUGGAAAGUUUCGGCGGUUGGGGAUGGACUCGCGGCUUAUCAGCUUGUUGGUGGGGUAGUGGCUUACCAAGGCUUUGACGGGUAGCCGGCCUGAGAGGGUGACCGGCCACAUUGGGACUGAGAUACGGCCCAGACUCAUACGGGGGGGAGGAGUGGGGAAUAUUGCACAAUGGGCGGAAGCGUGAUGCAGAAACGCCGCGUGCGGGAUGACGGCCUUCGGGUUGUAAACCGCUUUCGCCUGUGACGAAGCGUGAGUGACGGUAAUGGGUAAAGAAGAACCGGCUAACUACGU